rnacentral:lncRNA from 1 species
CUCCAGCCGGGGGCGGGGCCCGGGGGGCACUGAAAACCCCCCAGGUCCCCUCAGUGCCCCACACACCUGAGACCCCCCCCCACGGGACCCCCAUGGCACCUCCACCGCCCCCCGGCCACCUCAGCCUGGCCCGCGGGGUCCAGGUGAGAGGGGACCCCGGUUCUGAGGGGAGCUCGGGGGGCCGCGAGCAUCCGGGGCGGGGUGGGGGCCCGAGGGCGGCCGCGGCACUUCCUGCCCCCGGAAAGGGGAAGUGAAAGAAGGGACCCGGACGGUCGGGGGGGGACCCCAAGAGCUCGGGGAGCGCCGAAAGGUUGGGGGGACGCGGGAGCUCCGGCCGCCCCCGUUUGGGGGGCUGCAGGUGACCUCCCCGUGCUUCCCCAGCCCCCCCUGUACCAGGACGCCGUUGCCCGCCGGGCUCUGCGGCCCGCGCUGCUCAGGAGCGUUUCGGUGCCGGCCGAGCCCCCCGCGCCCCCCGCCAUGGAUGUCACCUACGCCGUGGUCAACAAGCCCCGCCGAGGGGGCGGGGCCGCGGGGAGAGGCCCCUCCCCUUUAAGACGAGAUCACGCCCCCUUCGGACGAGACUCCGCCCCCUCGGGCACGUGCUCGCUGCCGGGCAGCCCCGUGCGCCGCCCCUCCCCCAGCCCGGCAGGGUUUAAUUUCCGCAUUGGGAAGCCCAAGGGCCCGCGGGACCCCCCGGCCGAGUGGUCCCAGGUGUGAGGAGGGGUCCGGAUCCUUGAGCCCCCCCCACAGAGGAGGGGCUGCAGCAGAACCCGGCUGAUCCUUACAGAAACCGAUAUAGACAAAAACGAUUUAUUAUCACAAAUAAAAACUGAUGGUGAGAAUCCUGGCCGUGCCUG